rnacentral:rRNA from 1 species
CUAGCGACUUCAGAGUUUGAUCCUGGCUCAGGAUGAACGCUGGCGGCGUGCAUAACACAUUCAAGUCGAACGGACGAGGGGACUUCGGUCCCCGAGUUAGUGGCGGACGGGUGAGUAACGCGUGAGCAACCUGCCCCUUUGUGCAGGAUAACGUUUGGAAACGAACGCUAAUACCGCAUAACGCAUCGAGGUCGCAUGGCCAUGAUGCCAAAGAUUUAUUGCAGAGGGAUGGGCUCGCGUCUGAUUAGAUAGUUGGCGGGGUAACGGCCCACUAAGUCGACGAUCAGUAGCCGGACUGAGAGGUUGAACGGCCACAUUGGAACUGAGAAACGGUCCAG